rnacentral:rRNA from 1 species
GAUGAACGCUGGCGGCGUGCCUAAUACAUGCAAGUCGAGCGAACAGACGAGGAGCUUGCUCCUCUGACGUUAGCGGCGGACGGGUGAGUAACACGUGGAUAACCUACCUAUAAGACUGGGAUAACUUCGGGAAACCGGAGCUAAUACCGGAUAAUAUAUUGAACCGCAUGGUUCAAUAGUGAAAGACGGUUUUGCUGUCACUUAUAGAUGGAUCCGCGCCGCAUUAGCUAGUUGGUAAGGUAACGGCUUACCAAGGCAACGAUGCGUAGCCGACCUGAGAGGGUGAUCGGCCACACGGGAACUUGGACCCGGUCCAGACUCCCACGGGAGGCAGCAGUAGGGAAUCUUUCGGAAUGGGCGAAAGCCUGACGGAGCAACCCCGCGGUGGUGAUGAAGGUCUUCGGAUCGUAAAACUCUGUUAUUAGGGAAGAACAAAUGUGUAAGUAACUAUGCACGUCUUGACGGUACCUAAUCAGAAAGCCACGGCUAACUACGUG